rnacentral:rRNA from 1 species
AUUGAACGCUGGCGGCAGGCCUAACACAUGCAAGUCGAACGAGUGGCGGACGGGUGAGUAAUAUAUCGGAACGUGCCCAGUAGCGGGGGAUAACUCCUCGAAAGAGUGGCUACUAACGCAUACUAAUGGAGCGGCCGAUCUCGGCUUGGAUCGUUGGUGGGGUAAAGGCUCACCAAGGCAACGAUCCGUAGCUGGUUUGAGAGGACGACCAGCCACACUGGGACGUAGACACGGCCCAGACUCCUACGGGAGGCAGCAGUGGGGAAUUUUGGACAAUGGGGGAAACCCUGAUCCAGCCAUCCCGCGUGUAUGAGAAGGCCUUCGGGUUGUAAAGUACUUUUGGCAGAGAAGCGGUAUCUGCAGAAUAAGCACCGGCUAACUACGUGCCAGCAGCCGCGGUAAUAC